rnacentral:sRNA from 1 species
CCGCGCAGGCUUGGCGGCCCGCGUGGGCUCCUCCCCGCGGCGCUGGCUCAGUGCGAACCCGGCGAGGGCGGCUGGGCGCUUUAGAACUGCCCUGCAGGCCAGGAGCCUCUGUAGGUUUCGCUGGGGAGGUCUGGGGUGGGAGUUCCGUACGCCCUGAGCUCCAGGUUCUUGUACUUUUCUUAGUUGUGAGGGAGGGAAUUUGCGAAAGAAUUUUCCUUAUCGGGAGAUUCAAACUUGUCCUCGCAGGGAAAUGGAUAACUCACAUCCACAGCAUGUCCCUUUCUUUUCAGCCAUUUAAAGUUUUGGCAACUGAAACUAUAAGUCACAAGGCAUUAGAUGCAGAUAUAUACAGUGCAAUUCCAACAGAAAAAGUGGAUGGAACAUGUUGUUAUGUUACUACCUAUAAAGAUCAGCCAUACCUUUGGGCUCGACUAGAUAGAAAACCCAACAAACAAGCUGAAAAAAGAUUUAAAAAUUUUCUACAUUCAAAAGAAAACCCAAAAGAAUUUUUUUGGAAUGUUGAGGAGGACUUCAAACCAGCUCCAGAGUGCUGGAUACCAGCAAAGGAGACAGAACAAAUAAAUGGGAACCCAGUGCCUGAUGAAAAUGGACACAUUCCUGGUAUCAUGAUAUCUCUUCUAGUGCAGUUUUGUGUUUACUAGUAAAAUGAUCAAAAUAUCCAUUCAAUCAGAAAUUACAGAAUUUUAAUCUGGGUCUUCAUUAAUAUGUAUAGCACAGAAUUUCUGAAUCAAAUUUAUGUAAAGUCCUACAUACAUUUUAUAUCAAAGAUGUUUCAUAUCAAGAAUGUCCUCUUAGGUUUAGAAUCUUUUCUAAGAUGGGCAUUUUUUACUAGCUGUAGUCUGUGACAAUAAAGCGUCAAAAGAGAAUAGCCUUGAGGCCAGGUGCAGUGGUCACACCUGUAAUCCCAGCACUUUGGGAGGCUGAGGUGGGUGGAUUGCUUGAGCCUAGGAGUUUUAAGACUAACCUGGGCAACAUGGCAAAACCCUGUCUCUACCAAAAAUACAAAAAAUUAGUUGGGCAUGGCAUUGUGCGCCUGUAGUCUCAGCUACUCGGGAGACUAAUGUGGGAAACACCUAAGCCCCAGAAGUUGAGACUGCAGUGAACCAUGAUCGUGCCACUGCACUCUAGCCUGAGUGUUGGACUGUGACCUUGUCUCAAAAAAACAACAAAAGAAGAGGGAAUAGCUUCCAAGUUCUUGUCAGGAUAGAUGAGAUGAUCUAGUCUGAAAUGAGAUUUCAAGAAGUGGCUAUACCUUUAGAUUAGGGAUGGGAAAAUUUUGCAAAGGUAUGCUGAAUAGGAAGAUAUCCCAGAUUAAGGUUAUAGGUUCUCAACUGGCAUGUCUUGAGUGCCCAUUAUGUGCAAAGUCCUCUUAGUUUCUGGUAAUACAAAAAUGAAGAUCAGAACCCUUGUCCUCAAUGAUCUUUAAUUAGACAUUGGGAGAAAUUAACCAAUAAUAGUAUGAUUUAAGAACUAACAGGAAUGAAUACAUCAGGUACCACUGGAGAAAAGAGGAAUUCCUCAUUCAGCUUGUGGUUAGUGGAGGCUCCCAAGAGGAGUAGACAUCUUUACUGAAGCUUAAGGACCAGGAAGUCAGCUGACAAGGAAGAGGGAAGAUCAGCUUAGGCAAACUCCCAGGAAGAGGGAAUAUCAGCUUAGGCAAACUCCCAGGAAGAGGAGAGGGCAUGGGGUAUUUUGGAUAUUUUAUGUAACACUUUAUUGCAGCUAGAAUGUUCAGGGUAUAUGACAUCAUGAAGUGGCUGUAAAAGUUGAGGCUUAGAAGUGUGGUGGGCUCAGAUCGGAAAGGCCCUUUUAUUCCAUCUAAAGAAGUUUGAAGUUUAUCCUGAAGAUAAUGGUUUUUAAUCAGUGGUACAGCAAAAGCAAAUUUAAGUUUUAGAAAUAGAACUAUGAUAAAAGUGGGUUGGAUUUCACUGGAGGCUAGGUGACCAGCAAAGAAGUUAUUACAGUAAUCUAGUGUGAGUAAUGAAGGGAGCCAGUUCUGGCAAUAAGAAUGAGAAGGGUAAUAGCAAUAACAUUCAAUAAACGUGGCAUCAGUAAAUUGUUUGGUAUAUAUUGGAACAUUUUAAUAAACUUGGAACACUUACUGCAUUAUGUCCAUUGUCCCUGAAGCUUGAGAGAAGGUAGAGAGAAAACUUAUUUUAUAUAAAAAAUUUUGAGUGCUGUGUCUUAGAAUAAUGUUCAGUUCUUAAUGAAUAAGGGUGAAUUUUCUAGUAAGAGAAUGCUAGGUGCUGUGUAGUGAAUAACAGGUUAAUUCUACAGAAUAAAAAAUGAACCCUUAUGAUUUUUUAAAAAGUAAUAAACUGUUAACUUUCCCACUGAAUUUUAAAGUAAUAUCUCUUUGCGAUAGACACCCAGAAAACAUGGGAAAUUUACAACAAAAAUAGAAAUUACCUGUAGUGUCAGUCCAAAGAAAAACGAUCUAAUAACAAAUAAUUUUCUUCUUUAUAUGAUAGGUUGGGUACCAGUGGAGAAAAACAACAAACAGUAUUGCUGGCAUUCCUCUGUAGUUAAUUAUGAAUUUGAAAUUGCCCUGGUACUAAAACAUCAUCCUGAUGAUUCUGGACUUUUGGAAAUUAGUGCAGUGCCACUUUCAGAUCUCUUAGAACAAACACUGGAGCUCAUAGGAACAAAUAUCAAUGGAAACCCAUAUGGGUUAGGGAGCAAGAAACAUCCAUUACAUCUUCUUAUACCACAUGGAGCAUUUCAAAUAAGAAAUCUACCUUCAUUGAAGCACAAUGAUCUCGUGUCCUGGUUUGAAGAUUGCAAAGAGGGUAAAAUUGAAGGAAUAGUGUGGCAUUGCAGUGAUGGCUGUUUAAUAAAGGUCCAUCGCCAUCAUCUUGGCUUAUGCUGGCCAAUUCCAGAUACUUACAUGAAUUCAAGACCAGUUAUUAUCAACAUGAACCUGAACAAAUGUGACUCUGCCUUUGAUAUUAAGUGUUUGUUUAAUCAUUUUUUAAAAAUAGAUAAUCAGAAAUUUGUUAGACUCAAAGAUAUAAUAUUUGAUGUAUAAAAUGCAAAUAAAAUUAGUUUAUCAUUAUAUUCUAA